AGCGAACGCUGGCGGCAGGCUUAACACAUGCAAGUCGAGCGGGCGUAGCAAUACGUCAGCGGCAGACGGGUGAGUAACGCGUGGGAACGUACCUUUUGGUUCGGAACAACACAGGGAAACUUGUGCUAAUACCGGAUAAGCCCUUACGGGGAAAGAUUUAUCGCCGAAAGAUCGGCCCGCGUCUGAUUAGCUAGUUGGUGAGGUAAUGGCUCACCAAGGCGACGAUCAGUAGCUGGUCUGAGAGGAUGAUCAGCCACAUUGGGACUGAGACACGGCCCAAACUCCUACGGGAGGCAGCAGUGGGGAAUAUUGGACAAUGGGCGCAAGCCUGAUCCAGCCAUGCCGCGUGAGUGAUGAAGGCCCUAGGGUUGUAAAGCUCUUUUGUGCGGGAAGAUAAUGACGGUACCGCAAGAAUAAGCCCCGGCUAACUUCGUGCCAGCAGCCGCCGUAA
rnacentral:rRNA from 1 species